rnacentral:rRNA from 1 species
AACGAACGCUGGCGGCGUGCCUAACACAUGCAAGUCGAACGCGAAAGGGAGCAAUCCCCGGUAGCGUGGCAGACGGGUGAGUAACACGUGGGUAACCUACCCGGAGGUGGGGGAUAACCCUUCGAAAGGAGGGCUAAUACCGCAUGACACCGCGAGGACCUCGGUCCUUGCGAUCAAAGCUGGCCUCUGUUUACAAGCUAGCGCCACCGGAUGGGCCCGCGCCCCAUUAGCUAGUUGGUGAGGUAACGGCUCACCAAGGCGACGAUGGGUAGCCGGCCUGAGAGAGAGAUCGGCCACACUGGAACUGCGACAAGGUCCAGACUCCGACGGGAGGCAGCAGUGAGGAAUCUUGCGCAAUGGGCGAAAGCCUGACGCAGCGACGCCGCGUGGAGGAUGAAGGUCUUCGGAUUGUAAACUCCUGUCGAGUGGGACGAAUGCCGAGAGGGUGAAUACCCCUUUCGGUUGACGGUACCGCUGGAGGAAGCCCCGGCUAACUCCGUGCCAGCCGCCGCCGUAAAAC